GGCGAGCCUUGGAGCCGCGUAUCUAAUCAGACGCCUGCGUCACGGCCUCCGGCGCUGCAGCAGCUCCCUGCAGCAGUGGAGUUAGCCUCCUAAGUGGCAAUUAGCUACAAAAGGAUUAUCCCGGCCUGUUGACUAACUAUUUUUUGCACAUUUUCUGCUGAACUGUUCGCAUGUGACGCGACUCGGACGCGAGGGGGGGGCGUCGCAGGCGUGAGGGCAGGCUCACGCUGGCCCAGAAUGCCGCAGGAACCGCCUCCGUCCGCCUCCACGCGCUGCCGAGACGCUGGAGGCGCGCUGGUGGGCGGGGAACGGGCACCUGAGAGGUGGAAACCAAGGCGCAGCGCCCCUGACUGGACCUCGGUGGGUGAACUCCGGCCCGCUUGGCUGUGGACAGACAGGCCGUGGAGACAUGUCUGCGUAGGUGACUGUCACCCCCUGGAUUCUCAUUUCCUCUGGCUUUUCCAGCCUGUUUGCUGCUCCAGAAGAGGUCCUUGUUUGGGCAUGAGCCCACUACAGUCUCAUACAGAUGUCCUUGGACCUCUUAGGCUUGAACACUGCUAUAAUAAUCUCUCCCUCCCACCCCCCACCUCACAGCUAAUUCUUUCCCGUUGCUCAAUCCUGACCCAUGGUUCGGCUGCUGCUUCGAUCCCUGUUAAAACAAGACACUGGCAGAUGUGUAACUUACCGACUGAGGGGCAUUGAUGACGCCCGUGUUGUAGCCAAACUGCAGGGAGCCGAUGACCGCAGCUCCGACGCACAUCAGCAAUGGGAAGGUGAGUUGCUUCUAAAAAGAAAGAAGAUUCAUCAGUGACCAGGACCCGUUUCUAGGGACAGUGGACUGAUUUGUGCGCUAGUAUUGGUUCUGUUUGUGCUGCAUGUGGAGCUUUGUGCUUUUAAUCACUAAAAAAUAAAGAUCGACACACACCACA